rnacentral:rRNA from 1 species
UCGGGAAUUUUGGGCAAUGGGGGCAACUCUGAACCAGCCAUGCCGCGUGCAGGAAGAAGGCCCUAUGGGUCGUAAACUGCUUUUGAACAAGAGAAAACCCCGGUACGUGUACUGGGUUGAUAGUAUUGUUAGAAUAAGCAUCGGCUAACUUCGUGCCAGCAGCCGCGGUAAGACGAAGGAUGCAAGCGUUAUCCGGAUUCAUUGGGUUUAAAGGGUGCGUAGGCGGACUGAUAAGUCAGUGGUGAAAUCUCUCGGCUUAACCGAGAAACUGCCAUUGAUACUGUUAGUCUAGAGUACAGAUGAUGUGGGCGGAAUAUGACAUGUAGUGGUGAAAUACUUAGAUAUGUCAUAGAACACCGAUUGCGAAGGCAGCUCACAAAACUGUAACUGACGCUGAGGCACGAAAGCCAGGGGAGCAAACGGGAUUAGAUACCCAUGUAGUCCCUGAGCGGGCUGGCAAGGCGCAU